rnacentral:miRNA from 14 species
CGAUGCAUCUGCGGUGCAAUC